UACGUAGGUGGCAAGCGUUGUCCGGAGUUACUGGGCGUAAAGGGCGUGUAGGUGGCUAUUUAAGUCAGGCGUGAAAUCCCUGGGCUUAACCCAGGACCUGCGUUUGAAACUGGAUGGCUAGAGGACCGGAGAGGGUAGUGGAAUUCCCAGUGUAGCGGUGAAAUGCGUAGAUAUUGGGAGGAACACCAGUGGCGAAGGCGACUGCCUGGACGGCACCUGACACUGAGGCGCGAAAGCUAGGGGAG
rnacentral:rRNA from 1 species